AAACAGGGCUGGCAGACCCAAGAUCACCGCCCUGGUUGUGAAAUGGGCACCACGCUCUUCUCCUGUGUGGCCUUCAGUCUCCUAUGGGCAGGGCAUAUGGAGGCUGGAAUCACCCAGAGCCCAAGACACAAGAUCACAAAGACAAAAGAAAAGAGCACACAAAUGCUGGGGUCACUCAGACACCCAAGCAAGAGGUAACCAAGAGAGGACAAGCCGUAACUUUGAGAUGUGAGCCAAUUUCAGACCACAAAGCCCUUUACUGGUACAGACAAACUGUGGUGCGGAGACUGGAAUUGCUGACUUACUUUCGCAGCCUAACUCUUAUGAACGAAGGGGAAAUGCCGAAGGAUCGCUUCACAGCUCAGAUGCCUAAUGCAUCGUUCUCCAUCCUGAAGAUCCAGCCCGCAGAACCCAGUGACUCAGCUGUGUAUCUCUGUGCCAGCAGCUUAGCCACAGCAUUGUGGAACCAUCCCCUGCCAGCUCAGAAACCCUGGGUGCCCCUUCUCCCUCCAGUCCCAUAGUCCUAAGUACAAUCUUCCCUGCUCCUCCAUCCCCAUGUGAUAUACGUGGGUUGGGGACAGGACAAAGAAAAUAAUAACAUAAAAAUGGAGGAAAUUUUGGGUAGGAAAUAACAAGAAAUCAGUUUCAGGGGUAUCUUGGAAAUUGUCUGCAGACUCGAAGUUCACAUGUCAAAUAAAUCUUUCACACUGUAAAUCACCCUUCCUUCCGGUAGUUGUUAUCACCUGCUGAAUGUGGGACCUCUUGAUAAGGGCUGUGACUUCUGACCUACACUGCCUCUCCAUUCUCUCCUCACUCUAAGCUGUGAACAAAUCCCUUUCCCAGUGAGAUUUCCUGACUGUGAAAGAAUUGAUGUAUAUUCUGGGAAGAUGAGCUGCCUGCUCUGAACAAUCAGUAAGGAUCCACCUUGGUCCAUCCCAAAUCACAAAGGCCUGUCCUCUUUACUUUGCCUUCUUUUCUUCUUGAUCCUGUGUCCUUAACAGCCAUUCUCUUUCCUUCUGAUUUGUGUCAGAAAUUUCUAUUGUAAUCUAUUCUGAAUAGUUCUAACUUCUCUUUUCUAUAGUCUGAUUCACCUACUGAUUGCUUCUCAACCCUAUCAGGGUAUCCUUGGGAACUGGUACAAAAGAUACCUAUAUUUUAAUGGCCAAGGCAAUUCAGGUUUAUGUGAGCCAUAUUUUAUAUGCCAAAGCCAAAUUACAUUUUUUUAUUGACCUAUUUUUGUCACUUA